UUAAAAAAAAUGUUUAUUACCAGGGAAGCACAAAGAACAGAAUCAAUACAGGUCAAGAAUGAGUGACAGGGGGAAGGUGAGGUAGACAUGGUUUGGUUUUUCACUGAUGAAAAGAGUUACAUCUUGGAGGAUGAAGAUUUUCGUGGGGAAAAACUCUUCUGCCUGUUCCUGGCUUCCUCUUCCCUCUCUCCUCACUCCAAAGCAAGGUGAGAAAAUUCAGGCUUUCUUCUCCCUCUCUCUCCUCAGGCCUCUGAAUGACAUUUGACAGGUUCUUCAGAGCCUGUCCUGAGCACUGCUGCCCAGGAAAAGACUCUCCUUUAAGUCACAAUUCCAGGCCUUUUUUCUCCAGCUGCUGUCCAGAUGGAAGUUUGGGGCUCAGGCCCAACUGCCUGCACCCACAUCGGCACUCUAAGAAUUCCAGGAGAUGUGUUUGGAAGCUAACGAAGAUCCCCCUUCUCUGAGCGGGGCACUGAGAACCCUGUUUGCAUGUCUCUUUGAUCCUUCCCAGUAGGCUACAGAUGACUGGACCAGGGUGGGCACCUGCCUCACUCUGAGCCAAUCAGAUCCUCUCCUGGGAGUUUGGGAUUGGAUCUGCCAAGCCCCAAGUUCUCUCUCUCCAUGUGGCUGAAACCAAGGGACACAAUACAGGAACUAUAGGUGGCUUGGUGCCUGAAAAGGCAGAGAUAUCCAGUCUGUGGAUACAGAAAGGCAGGGUGCAGAGAAUGGCUGCUUCAAGUUCCCUUGGCCCUCCAGGUCCCGCCUUCCUGAAGCUAAUGGUUUUCCUUCCCCUUAGUUCCAGGGAAUCCCUUCUGUCCUUGUAAUAAGCCCUUCUUUAUUACUGAAGCUGGUUUGAGUGGGUUUCUGUAUAUAAGCAAAGACCUAAUUAAGACAAGAGAGAAGCUGGGAGCCGGAGGUACGCAGAUGAACAAUCCUGAAAAAAUAAUCACUGUGCCUACGUCGGAGAAGCCCAGUGCAGUGGGAGACAGCGAGUAAGAGAUGUAGACUUUGCACAGAUGUGGCAGAGGGAGGGUGGGCUAACUCUGCCUGGGGAGGAGCGGAAGGGCUCCACAGGCUUCACAGCGAAGGUAGCAGCUGAGCCGAUUUUGAAGAAUUAAGGACAUUCUCCAUGGAGACAAAGUAGGGGUGGGGAGGCAUUACAAGCAAAGGGAACAGCAAGUGCAGAUGCACAGAGACCCAAAACAGCCUGGUGUCUUAGAGGGACUGGAGUUCAAAGUGUGGCGGGGAAGCAGGGAAGACAGGCAGUCAGGCGCACAUCAUAAAGGGCUUUGAAUACCAUGAUAAGAAGCCGAGGCCUUUUCCUGUCAGUGACAGGGAGCUAUUGAAGUAUUUUAAGUAGCAGGGGGUGACGGGGUCAGUUCUGUGUUUUAGAAAGAUUGUUCUGGGGCUGCUUGGAGAAAGGGCUGGAAAAGGCAGGCCUGGAGGCAAGGACCAGUUAGGAGGCUGCAGCACUCCUCAUCUAGUCCCUUCAUUCAUCUAACAGCUCACUGUGUACCUACUAUGUGCCGGGGUGAGGCAAAACGGAUUCCUGAGCCCACAGAGUUCACAGCCUAGCAUGAAAUAGACAUGAGGGAAAAGCGAUUUGAGUGUGCUGAAUGUUAUGAAGAAGUACAAGGUCCUCUGGAGCAGGGUGCUGUUUACUGUCUGGUUUUUAGGCUUCCCUGCGGAAAUGACGUUCGAGCUGGUAUCUAUCUGAAGGAUAAGUAGGAGUUAGCAGGGCCCCAAGAGGGGGCGUGCAUUCCAGGAUUGGGGACAACACGUGUGGAAGUCCUGCAGCUGAGGGAGAGUGGCAGAAGAAGACACAAAAAGGUAGGCAAGGACCAGAUCCCACAGGGCCUCGGAGACUGCGUCAGUGCAUCUGGCUUUCAUUCCAAGAAGGCUUGGAAGGGUCCUAAGCAGGGAAAUGACACAAUCCAACGUUUAUCCUAAGAAGACCAUGAAAGAAAGCGGGGCAAGAACAAAUGUCAGGAGACCAGGUAGGAAGCUGUCACAGUGGCCCAGGACCUCACAGGCACCACGGCGCCCCCUGCCCUGCCCUGCCCUGAAGCAGUUCCAGGAACGUCAGAUGGUAAGAGAAGAAACGACUUACAAACGUCAAGUCCAUUUUACAGAUGGAAAAUCUGAAGCUCAGAUAGGAGAAAAGACUUGCCCAAGUGCCUGGUAUGAAGAGAAAGACUUUAUAAUGUCCCUUUCAGACAGAAGGAAGUAGAGUGGCCGGCCCUGAAGCCCAAGUUAACCUGCUUCCCCUGCGCUCUCUACUUCUAGAGCAAUGGUUUUAAACUUGGGGCGAUUUUGCCCCCCAGGGAACAUUCGACCAUGUCUGGAGACAUUUUUGGUUUUCCCAACGAGGAGGUUGCUACUGGCGUCUCAUGAGAAGAGACCAGGGAUGCUGCUACACGCCUUCAAUGCACAGGACAGCCCCUGCGCCAGAGAAUUGUCAGGCCCGAAAUGUCAGCAGGUUUCUGAGGUUGAGAAACUCUGUUCUAGGGCCUGGCAUCUGCCUAUAUAAACUUCCAAAUAGACUCCUGGAGUCCUGGGUUCUUCUGCAGCCCGGGAGGAUACUGUAUGAAGUCUUUCCUAGGGUCGUGCCUGCCCCAACUUGUAUAUUUAACCUUGCUUAGGACUGGUCAGUUCCACUCUUGGGCUCCAGUGUUUUGAAUUCCACCCACUGACAGAGAGGACAGAAUAAUUAAUAUUUGCUGGAGGCAUGUAAAACCAGUAGUCUCCCUGCUGAGGGCAUGAAUUAAAAUGUAAAUGGGAGCUGGGUGCGGUGGCUCAUGCCUGUACCAGUGUUUUGGGAGGCCAAGGUGGGUGGAUUGCUUGAGGCUGGGAGUUCGAGAUCAACCUGGCCAACAUGGUGAAACCCCAUCUCUACUAAAAAUACAAAAAUUAGCCAGGUGUGGUGGCACACAACUAUAGUCCCAGCUACUCGGGAGGCUGAGGUACGAGAAUCACUUGAACCCAGGAGGCGGAGGUUGCAGUGAGCCGAGGUCGCACCACUGCACUCCAGCCUGAGUGACAGGGGGAACUCUGUCUCAAAAAAAAGUAAAUGGGGAGUGGGAAGGUGGGGAGAAAAAGGAAAAUUAUUGGGAUUAAAGGAUCCUCCUGGGGAUUGCUAGGAGGCAUAGUCAUCCUACGCCUUCCCUUCUCACCUGGUCUGUGAGAAGCAUAAACUGAGGCCCUACAAUGUGAAAAGCCUCAAAGUGCGUUCCAUAGCUGGUCAGAGGUGGAGCUGGGGCUCCUGAUUAUAUUUACAUAUUAAUUAAAGCUUUGUUAUCAGCUAUUCUACCUCAGGCCUAGGCCUGGACUAGGGCCUGGGUGGUAGAAUGGGUUACUCUGGAGCAGCAAGGGGGACUAGAUUAGGGGAGGUGGGAUGGAGGCCAGGGCAGGACCUGGAACGAGGGUGGAGGUGAGGGGUGGGAGCACAGAGAGGAAUCAGGCUUCCUGUGUGCUCCUCCCUGGCCCCUUUCACAGAGACAGGUAAACCAGGGGUUCCCUUUGCACAUCUGAUGAAAACUUAGCACUAUCUCUCUGGAGAUGUGCAAUGUAUAUUUUGCAUAUAAUUUCAGUAUCUUCAAAGUUCUAUAUUGGUUACCAGAAGGACUGGAUGGGAGGUGGGUGGAGAGGGGGUUGAUUCUUAAGUGUAUAUAGAAGAAUAAACAUACAGGAAUAAAAAGUCCAGGAAGAAAA